rnacentral:rRNA from 1 species
GCGGUGAGCAUGUGGUUUAAUUCGAUGCAACGCGAAGAACCUUACCUACUCUUGACAUCCAGAGAAUUUGCUAGAGAUAGCUUAGUGCCUUCGGGAACUCUGAGACAGGUGCUGCAUGGCUGUCGUCAGCUCGUGUUGUGAAAUGUUGGGUUAAGUCCCGCAACGAGCGCAACCCUUAUCCUUUGUUGCCAGCGAGUAAUGUCGGGAACUCAAAGGAGACUGCCGGUGAUAAACCGGAGGAAGGUGGGAUGACGUCAAGUCAUCAUGGCCCUUACGAGUAGGGCUACACACGUGCUACAAUGGCAUAUACAAAGAGAAGCGAACUCGCGAGAGCAAGCGGACCUCAUAAAGUAUGUCGUAGUCCGGAUUGGAGUCUGCAACUCGACUCCAUGAAGUCGGAAUCGCUAGUAAUCGUAGAUCAGAAUGCUACGGUGAAUACGUUCCCGGGCCUU